rnacentral:rRNA from 1 species
UCCGUAGGUGAACCUGCGGAAGGAUCAUUACAAGUGAGGCUACCGAACGUUGGAAACAGCGGUUAGGAGCUUACACCCACCCGUGUUUACAUACUAUUGUUGCUUUGGCGGGCCGUGGCCUCCACUGCGGGCUCUGCUCGUGUGUGCCCGCCAGAGGACCAAACUCUGAGUGUUAGUGAUGUCUGAGUACUAUCUAAUAGUUAAAACUUUCAACAACGGAUCUCUUGGUUCUGGCAUCGAUGAAGAACGCAGCGAAAUGCGAUAAGUAAUGUGAAUUGCAGAAUUCAGUGAAUCAUCGAAUCUUUGAACGCACAUUGCGCCCUGUGGUAUUCCGCAGGGCAUGCCUGUUCGAGCGUCAUUUAACCACUCACGCCUAGCGUGGUAUUGGGGCACGCGGUCUCGCGGCCCUCAAAAUUAGUGGCGGCGCCGGUGGGCUCUAGGCGUAGUACAUACUCCCGCUAUAGAGUUCCCCCGGUGGCUCGCCAGAACCCCCAAUUUUUUACAGGUUGACCUCGGAUCAGGUAGGGAUACCCGCUGAACUUAAGCAUAUC